rnacentral:rRNA from 1 species
AUUAGUAUUAGUUAUGUUCUUUAAAAUUAAAAAAUUUGGCGGUAUUUUAAUCUUUUCAGAGGAACUUGUUUUAUAAUUGAUAAUCCACGAUUUAAUUUACUUAUUUUUUUAAUUUAUAUAUCGUCGUUAUAAAAAAUUUUUUAAAAAUAUAAAUUUUUUUAAAUUUUAAUUAAAAAAUAAAUCAGAUCAAGAUGUAGUUAAUAUAUAAGAAAAAAUGAGUUACUUUAAUUUUAUUAUUAAGAAUUUUUAUUAGGAUAGUAAAUUGAAUUUGGAUUUGAAAGUAAAAUAAUUUAAUUAAAUUAUUUGAUUUUAGCUCUAAAAUAUGUACACAUCGCCCG